AGAGUUUGAUCAUGGCUCAGAAUCAACGCUGGCGGCGUGCCUAACACAUGCAAGUCGCACGAGAAAGGGGAGCAAUCCCUGAGUAAAGUGGCGCACGGGUGAGUAACACGUGAAUAAUCUACCUCCGAGUGGGGAAUAACUGAGAGAAAUCUUAGCUAAUACCGCAUAACACUUACGAGUCAAAGCAGCAAUGCGCUUGGAGAGGAGUUCGCGGCCGAUUAGUUAGUUGGCGGGGUAAUGGCCCACCAAGACGAUGAUCGGUAUCCGGCCUGAGAGGGCGCACGGACACACUGGAACUGAAACACGGUCCAGACUCCUACGGGAGGCAGCAGUGGGGAAUUUUGCGCAAUGGGGGAAACCCUGACGCAGCAACGCCGCGUGGAGGAUGAAGUCCUUCGGGACGUAAACUCCUUUCGAUCGGGACGAUUAUGACGGUACCGGAAGAAGAAGCCCCGGCUAACUUCGUGCCAGCAGCCGCGGUAAUACGAGGGGGGCGAGCGUUGUUCGGAAUUAUUGGGCGUAAAGGGUGCGUAGGCGGUUUGGUAAGUCUUAUGUGAAAUCUACAGGCUCAACUUGUAGUCUGCAUGAGAAACUGCCGGGCUUGAGUAUGGGAGAGGUGAGUGGAAUUCCUGGUGUAGCGGUGAAAUGCGUAGAUAUCAGGAGGAACACCUGUGGCGAAAGCGGCUCACUGGACCAUAACUGACGCUGAUGCACGAAAGCUAGGGGAGCAAACAGGAUUAGAUACCCUAGUAGUCC
rnacentral:rRNA from 1 species